UGGAUCGAUGAUGACUACUGGUGGCUUACGAGUGUGAGACGAUGACUAUGGGUCUGGAACUCUGAGGUCCAU